AACGAACGCUGGCGGCAUGCCUAACACAUGCAAGUCGAACGAGACCUUCGGGUCUAGUGGCGCACGUGUGCGUAACGCGUGGGGACCUGCCCGUAGGUUCGGAAUAACUCCCCGAAAGGGGUGCUAAUACCGGAUAAUGUCUUCGGACCAAAGAUUUAUCGCCUUGGGAUGGGCCCGCGUUGGAUUAGCUAGUUGGUAGGGUAAAAGCCUACCAAGGCGACGUUCCAUAGCUGGUCUGAUAGGAUGACAAGCCACACUGGGACUGAGACACGGCCCAGACUCCUACGGGAGGCAGGAGUGGGGAAUAUUGGACAAUGGGCGAAAGCCUGAUACAGCAAUGCCGCGUGAGUGAUGAAGGCCUUAGUGUUGUAAAGCUCUUUUACCCGGGAUGAUAAUGACAGUACCGGGAGAAUAAGCUCCGGCUAACUACGUC
rnacentral:rRNA from 1 species